CACGUAGGGUGCGAGCGUUGUCCGGAAUUAUUGGGCGUAAAGAGCUCGUAGGCGGCUUGUCGCGUCGGAUGUGAAAGCCCGGGGCUUAACUCCGGGUCUGCAUUCGAUACGGGCAGGCUAGAGUUCGGUAGGGGAGAUCGGAAUUCCUGGUGUAGCGGUGAAAUGCGCAGAUAUCAGGAGGAACACCGGUGGCGAAGGCGGGUCUCUGGGCCGAUACUGACGCUGAGGAGCGAAAGCAUGGGUAGCGAACAGG
rnacentral:rRNA from 1 species